rnacentral:lncRNA from 1 species
ACACAAACUGGAACAGUACUUUAAACCACUAUAACUAAACAUGUGCUUAACCAAAAAUUGUGCUAUUUAUCUUUUUGAAAAGCUUAAGAAAAGUACUACAACUCAUAUAUUUUCAUCCAGGCAUGAUUCCACAACCAAACUGAACCAAACAAUCUAAACAUGCAGACAUACUCAAAAUAGGACCAAGGCAACAUAUGGCAUUUGUUAUUUUUAUAAAUCUUAAUCUGUCAUACCUACAUUCAUGCAAAUU